AAAACAUUUCGACCACGGCAGGACUCGAACCUGCAAUCCCCAGAUUCGAAGUCUGGUGCCUUAUCCAUUAGGCCACGCGGCCAU
ensembl:ncRNA F35H8.10 ncRNA